rnacentral:rRNA from 1 species
AUGAAUCAUAAUUUGAAACCAGUUGCACGAAUUUGUGUUCUUGUGUUUUUUGACGACAUUUUGGUGUUCUCUAAGUCAUUUUCUGACCACAUCCAACACCUCACACAAGUGAUGCAGCUGUUGAGAGCCAACCAAUGGAAAAUUAAAAUGUCCAAAUGUUCAUUUGCACAGCGGGAAUUGUCCUACUUGGGCUUUGUAAUCGGUGAGCAAGGGGUCUCGACUGAACCAGAAAAGAUUAUGCGUGUCCAACAAUGGCCACUGCCACACUCAGUUAAGCAACUCCGGCAAUUCUUGGGCCUUUCUGGAUACUAUCGCAAACUUGUCCGACAUUAUGGCAUAAUUGCUAAACCAUUGACCCAAUUGCUCAAGAAGAAUGCUCCUUUUGUGUGGACUAGCGAGUGCACAACAGCGUUGGAGGCUUUGAAGCAGACAUUGAUUACAGCCCCCGUCCUGGCCUUGCCGGAUUUCAAUAAACAAUUCACCAUUGAGACCGAUGCGAGCGAUUAUGGCGUUGGUGCAGUUUUGCAGCAAGACGGGCACCCAUUGGCCUUCUUGAGCAAGCCAUUGGGUCCGCGCAACAAGGGGCUUUCGACCUAUGAAAAAGAACAGUUGGCAAUCUUGUUAGUUGUUGAACAAUGGCGGCAAUAUCUGCAAUCUGCUGAGUUCGUGAUCAAGACCGACCAGCGCAGCCUAGUUCACCUCGAGGACCAACGUUUGCACACCUCGUGGCAACAGAAAGCAUUCACUAAGCUCUUGGGACUGCGCUACCGUUUGUGCUAUCGAAAAGGGUCUGACAAUGGUGCGGCAGAUGCCCUCUCCUGGCGGCCAAUCGGUGACUGA